GAGUGGCCGCGCGCUCCCGCUCGCGCGCGCCGCGCUGGGUGACUGGGAGCCGGACCGCUGCCCUUCGCGCCUGGGCUGGCCGCCGUGGGGCGCCAGCUACCGGCUGGGGUGGGGGCUGGUUUUCUCGCAGGCCAUCGGGGAAGGCCGCUGGAGAGAGGGGAGGGAGGACAGGGGGUGGGAGCGGCGGGAGGGCAGCCGGAGAGCAGGGCGAGGAGGCGGUAAGGGGAGGGGAGGGGCCGCGCGGAGCUGGGUCCAGGCCGGGGGGUGCUGGCAGGGUUGGGACCGAGAGAGAAAGUAACUCCAGGACGAGACCGGAGCGCCCCGCGCCGCGGGCACAGGCGGCGUGGCUGCGCCCGAGCCUGUGCCGCCGCUCCCGAUCCAACGUAAGCCCGGCGCGGGCGCCACCGUUCAGCGAUGCGCACCCCUGUCCCUAACGUGGCUGCGACGCCCAGAAAGUUGCCCAGCCGGGAUUCGGACCUGGGCAGGGGCGGCGGGACACGCGGUGCGGGGACAUCCAGCAUCAAGGCCUGGCGUGGAAGAGGGGACUGCCCGCGUGGCCAGCCCUGGCCCCGGGUAGAACCUCUCCAGAGACCUGAUUCCAUCUAAGGAUAGACACAUGGAAAGAGUGUCAUACUUAUCAAACCAUAAGAAGAAGCUGGGAAAUCUGCAAAAUCACACUGCUGCUGAACCCAUCAGAGUGCUGACUUUGAACGGCUACCAUCAGGGUAAAAUUUGAGGAACGCUGGCAUGAGCCUCCAGACAGACAAGACACUGGCAAUCCCUCACCUGUCCCAGAGCACUGGAAGUGUUAGGUAGUUAGAUAAGUGGGGGUACCAGGCAGACAGGUGGAGGAGAGAGAGGAUGGUCUGGAUGAUGGUGGCAUGUCUGCCUCCAGCAUAAAGGGGCUUUACUUCUUUUAAGUGAGUGCCAGCAAGAAACCAGUUAGAACUAAAAGGCUGGAACUUCAUGGUAGUGACAAGGACCUAACCGGACAUGACCCAGUUCUCAUUGUAAUAUAAUUAGCAUUGAGGUUCUGGCACCUCCAUGGGUUUUUCUGUGUUUAUCAUGGAUAAGGGCAUUCACAAAAGGGGACAAACAUGACUGAGCACUCCAGGGGCAAGAGCCAUCAAUCAAUCAAAAGACCACCUCUAAGUGAGGGUACAAGAGGAAGGAGCAAAGACCAUUGCUGUCUGCACUUGGAUCAGCCUGCCUCCUGUUCUUGGAGGGGUACUUCACCUUUCCUAAUAAAAUCUUUCACUGCACAAUG